GUCACUGACGAGUUUGAUCCUGGCUCAGGAUGAACGCUGACAGAAUGCUUAACACAUGCAAGUCGACUUGAGAAUACCUUCGGGUGUUGAUAGAGUGGCGGACGGGUGAGUAACGCGUGAAGAACUUGCCUUACGGAUGGGGACAACUAUUGGAAACGAUAGCUAAUACCCGAUAUAAUACAGAGAUGGCAUCAUUUUUGUAUGAAAGCUAUAUGCGCCGUAAGAGAGCUUCGCGUCCCAUUAGCUAGUUGGUAGUGUAAUAGACAACCAAGGCGACGAUGGGUAGCCGGCCUGAGAGGGUGUACGGCCACAAGGGGACUGAGACACGGCCCUUACUCCUACGGGAGGCAGCAGUGGGGAAUAUUGGACAAUGGGCUACAAGCCUGAUCCAGCAAUUCUGUGUGAAUGAUGAAGGCCCUCGGGUCGUAAAGUUCUUUCGGGCAGGGAAGAAGAAAGUGACGGUACCUGCAUAAGAAGCGACGGCUAAUUACGUG
rnacentral:rRNA from 1 species